GCAUUCAAAUUUCCUUCAAGUCACUUGCUUAAGAGGAGAUGACAUUUGAGCAAGAUCUUAAAGAAAAUCAGAUGCCUUCACCUGACCACUGCUUGGUGAUCCCAUGGCACUUUGUACAUCUCUCCAUUAGCUCUCAUCUCACCAGCCCAUCAUUAUUGUAUGUGCUGCCUUCUGAAGCUUGCAGCUGGCUACAUCAGGUAGAAUAAAAUCAUCCUUUCAUAAAA